rnacentral:rRNA from 1 species
UACGGGGGGGGCAAGCGUUGUUCGGAAUUACUGGGCGUAAAGGGUUCGUAGGUGGCCAACUAAGUCAGACGUGAAAUCCCUCAGCUUAACUGGGGAACUGCGUCUGAGACUGGAUGGCUUGAGUGCAGGAGAGGAACGCGGAAUUCCAGGUGUAGCGGUGAAAUGCGUAGAUAUCAGGAGGAGCACCUGCGGUGUAGACGGCUUACUGGACCAUAACUGACGCUGAGGCACGAAAGCGUGGGUAGCAAACAGG